rnacentral:lncRNA from 1 species
UAAGGACUGAAUGGGAUAAUACAUGUAAGGCACCCAGUAUAGUGCCUGGCCCCAGACACUCACUUGGCUCGCUCUUCAGCCAAGAGGACCCUCUUGUGUCAUCUAUUUGGGGCUUGCUCUUUUUUCCUGUAGCUGGUGCUACCCUGGCCUUGGGAGGUCUUCCACACUCCAUCCCAGAAGCCCAGGAAGAAGGGUGCAGGGAGAAGGCUGUCCCACCCACAGGCAGCCUGGGCCAGCCCCGCUCCGGACCUCAGAGACAAGUGUCUCCUGAGUUGCCUUCCACACCUCCUCUUUGCCAGCCUGUUCCAGAGCCUGUGACCAAUAAGAAGAUCUGACCACAGCCUUUUAUGAGCACUAUCUGGCUUGAAUUUGCUUUGUAGUGCUGUUUGGAGUUUUCCGGACUAAUCAUUUGGACUGGCUCCUUCUGCCUGUGGCUCCUGC